GUGCUCUCUUUAGAAGCAAAUAUACUAAAAUUGGAAUGAUACAGAGAAGACUUGCAUGACACUUGUGCAAGGAUGACAUGCAAAUUAGUGAGACAUUCUAUGUUUUU
ensembl:snRNA U6 U6 spliceosomal RNA